UUUUUUUUUUAAUCAUAUGUUCAUACUUUCCUUUUUCACUGUGCUCUCAGGAGAUUGAAUGUCUGAACCAGAAGUUGAUGUUUCUUCACAAGAGAAUGCAGGUGGUGGACUCACUCACGUGGAAGGGAAUGUUAGCCCGAGCGCCUCUGUGGUGAACCAUCCACUGACACCUGUCAAUCAAGUGGUCACGUCAAACAUUAAAGAUGGCCCAGCACAGCGCAUUUAAGGUCUUUGGACUGGGAAACAUUGGCAGUGAAAAUUUACCUCUUAAGCCGCUUACUGUACAUUUUCUUUUUAAAUAAAGAUUUUCUAGUUUCA